rnacentral:rRNA from 1 species
GACGAACGCUGGCGGCGUGCCUAAUACAUGCAAGUAGAACGCAGUUGCGAACGGGGGAGUAACGCGUAGGUAACCUGCCUCAUAGCGGGGGAUCACUAUUGGAAACGAUAGCUAAUACCGAAUACUGUGAGAUGGACCGGCGUUGUAUUAGCUAGUUGGUGAGGUAAAGGCUCACCAAGGCGACGAUACCUAGCCGACCUUAGAGGGUUAUCGGCUACACUUGGACUGAGCCACGGCCCCGACUCCUUCGGUAGGAAGAAGUAGGUAGUCUUCGGCAAGUGACGGAAGUCUGACCGAGCAUUGCGGCGUGAGUGAGGAAGGUUUUCGGUUCGUAAUGCUCUUUUGUUAGGGAAGCGGUAACUAACCAGAAAGGGACGGCUAACUCCGUGCCAGCAGCCGCGGUAAUUC